GUCAGAGCCCACUGAACUCCACAUGCCCCUUUGCAAUCGAAACUGAACCGCGACUGUAGUCGCACCCAUACCUAUCGAGAGGACUGUCCAUGAGACGAACGAAAACGUAGAGCAUAGAGGUUGACAGCUAGAGGCGUGAUGAGGAGCGUCGAACAGUAGAUACCGAUAGCUCAUUAUUAUAGAAGACAUUGCCAAUUGUUAAUAGGAAAGCAGAUGAAUUCGUGAAAUAAUCCCUACAAUAUUUAUUUUGUAUUUACCAGUGCUAAGUAGAAGCUAGUCAGGUGAAAAUUGUGAAAUUUAUAUGCUAAGCUGUAUUAUGCUAACUAUUCCCAUAACCGUGAUUACAGAUAUUGCUGAUGAUUUCCCUCUAGCCCAAACUGAAUUAUAAACACUAUCUGGUUAUUUAUAAGUGUCUAGUUAAAGAAUUGAAUUUGAUUAAUCCCUAUCUCCACGAGCCGACGGGUUUUAUGUAUUUAAAUAUAGACGUCAGUUGAUCCAAAAAGAGUAUUCAAACAGAAAACCUAGUUGAGUGGUAGCGUACACUACAGAAUUUUGUAAUUCUACAAUAAAUUAACAAAAUCAUCCAAACCCUACCGCCCAACAUCUUACAAAAUUCUGUAAGAAGGAUCAGAAUGUCCAGGAAAUCGCCAUCAAUAUUGUCUGGAGCUGGCUCUGGCUUGAUAGCGGACAGUCAUCCGCCAGCAGUAGGCGCCAAUGGUAGCGCUCCUGAGGAUCAAGGAACUCCACAUCACAACAACGCUGUGGUCACCGAUUUAUCCAACCUGUCCAUCGUGAACAACGCGAAACGCGGAACGAAGAGUGCAGUAGAACCGGUGGCGUGUGCAAAGGGCAACGCAGCUGUGGUAACGGGAGUGCGUUCCCUCCCCCCUCAGGUAAAUGCUGACGUAGCCAAUGUUGGAAAUUCCCUAGCCAGGGGAACAAAGCCCAAGCUUAAAUCUGGUGCCGGAGCAAGUGUCAC